UACGAAGGGGGCUAGCGUUGCUCGGAAUCACUGGGCGUAAAGGGUGCGUAGGCGGGUUUUUAAGUCAGGGGUGAAAUCCUGGAGCUCAACUCCAGAACUGCCUUUGAUACUGAAGAUCUUGAGUAUGGGAGAGGUGAGUGGAACUGCGAGUGUAGAGGUGAAAUUCGUAGAUAUUCGCAAGAACACCAGUGGCGAAGGCGGCUCACUGGCCCGGUACUGACGCUGAGGUGCGAAAGCGUGGGGAGCAAACAGG
rnacentral:rRNA from 1 species